rnacentral:rRNA from 1 species
AACGUAGGUGACAAGCGUUAUCCGGAAUUACUGGGCGUAAAGCGUGCGCAGGCGGUUUUGUAAGUCUGUCGUGAAAUCCCCGGGCUCAACCUGGGAAUUGCGAUGGAGACUGCAAGGCUAGAAUCUGGCAGAGGGGGGUAGAAUUCCACGUGUAGCAGUGAAAUGCGUAGAGAUGUGGAGGAACACCGAUGGCGAAGGCAGCCCCCUGGGUCAAGAUUGACGCUCAUGCACGAAAGCGUGGGGAGCAAACAGG